rnacentral:lncRNA from 1 species
GUCACGGGGUAUGACUAUAUAGGUCUUGUAGAGGAGAAACAGGCGCUUCUUUUGCGCUAGGUAUCGAAGGGCGCUAUGUUCAAAAAUCUGAAACUAGAGCUCAAAAUUUGAAAAAAAAUGUCAAAAAAUUAGGGGGGUCGGCCUAUUCUAGGACUUCUAGAGAAAAAUAAUGAGGGGUGUCACGGGGUAUGACUAUAUAGGUCUUGUAGAGGAGAAACAGGCGCUUCUUUUGCGCUAGGUAUCGAAGGGCGCUAUGUUCAAAAAUCUGAAACUAGAGCUCAAAAUUCGAAAAAAAUGUCAAAAAAUUAGGGGGUCGGCCUAUUCUAGGACUUCUAGAGAAAAAUAAUGAGGGGUGUCACGGG